GAAUUUUCAAUCUUUGAUUCCCCAGAAGUUGAAAUCAUAUCUGCCUGACCUUAGAAGUGACACAGUGGGCGAAGGUUUCCGAGUCGUUCCAAGUUAACUGCGAAAACUCAAAAAUGAACACUGAAGGGAUUAACGGCACGGCCAAUUGUUGCCUCUCCUCACACAUCACUCCCCCUACAAGACGCAACAAAAUGGUUGAUUUUGCCAAAACAAUGAGACAACGUUUUACAACAACGGGAGGUGAAUGAGGCCAUGGAUCUUUUCUCAUAUGGAUACUCAAGGUCUGACUUUCAGCAAAUGCGACGUAACGGCUGCUUUGGAAACAGUGUUCCUCUGGGAGUUCUUGAAACACAGCAGGAAUUGAAAGAGAAAGACAUGACAGCACGAGAAAGUAAAAUAAAAUCGUAUUUAAUGACAACAUUGUUUGAAAGAUGGUUGAUUCGCAUAAUAUAUCAGGUGGAGACAAAAGAAAAGACAGACAUAGUGGUAAAACCCAGCACCUUAUUGAUGGGAGACAUAGAAGACAUCCUCUCCAAGCUGGUUGAAAUUGACGAAGCAGAGGUUGUAAAUCAGGAGUCAAGUAAAAGGCAAAGAAAGACAGGGGCGCUGAGCAUGUUCCUCUUCAGACACAUGACAGACUCUCUAACCUCUUCUGGAUCACUACCAGAGAUCAGUGUAUAUUCAGACCUGUACCAUGAAAUACUUGACAUGGCGUCGAAAUUCAUUGAGACGAUGGACUGGUGGCAGGAAACUCAGGUUGAACCACUCGCUCAAAUGAUAAGUGAUCACUUUUUAGAGAACAGGACGACACCGUCACCAGUUGUCGAACACCAGAGCAGCGUUGCUCCAAAAACUCCUGGAGAACGUGCACACGACGACAAGGCGCAGAAAAGACCAAAACUUUUCAUUAAGACAAUUGUUGAGCAGGUCCACGGAAAGUAUCCCAAUCCCACCGAUACACAUAUGAAGUACUGUGAGAAUCGGAUGAAUAAUUACUACACCAGUGUCAGGGACCAGGACUUGGUUAUCACACAAAUGUCCACUAAUCUGUGCAAGGGUAUUGACAAAGGAGAUGAUCUGUCUUGUCUAACAACGGUUGCAGGUGUAGAUGGCAUUGUCUCCGUUAUCAAAGAUAACGUGAUGCCACAAACUAAGGGAAACUGCAUCCAGAAUUUCUUCCGCAGCAUCAGGAGAGAAAACCAGGUCUCUCCCUCUCCAC
ensembl:lncRNA